rnacentral:rRNA from 1 species
ACGGAGGCCUCAAGCGUUGUUCGGAAUUACUGGGCGUAAAGGGUGCGUAGGCGGCGAGGUAAGUCAGAUGUGAAAGCCCGGGGCUCAACCCCGGAAUUGCAUCCGAUACUGCUUUGCUUGAGGGAUGGAGAGGAGGCUGGAAUUCACGGUGUAGCGGUGAAAUGCUAUGAUAUCGUGAGGAAGGCCAGUGGCGAAGGCGUGUAUCUGGACAACACCUGACGCUGAGUAACGAAAGCCAGGGGAGCGAAAAG